rnacentral:rRNA from 1 species
ACGGAGGAUGCAAGCGUUAUCCGGAUUCAUUGGGUUUAAAGGGUGCGCAGGCGGAAUGAUAAGUCAGUGGUGAAAUCCUACGGCUCAACUGUAGAACUGCCAUUGAUACUGUUAUUCUUGAGUACACUUGAAGUGGGCGGAAUGUGUCAUGUAGCGGUGAAAAGAUUAGAGAUGACACAGAACACCGGUGGCGAAGGCAUCACACUAAAUUGUAACUGACGCUGGUGCGCUAAAGUGUGGGGAUCAAAUAG